AAGUCGAGGGGUAACGACUCCGUCUUCGGAUGGAGGUCGACGACCGGCGCACGGGUGAGUAACGCGUAUGCAACCUACCUUUUACAGGAGGAUAGCCCAGAGAAAUUUGGAUUAAUACUCCAUAGUACUAAUGAAUCACCUGGUUUAUUAGUUAAAACUCCGGUGGUAAAAGAUGGGCAUGCGUGUCAUUAGCUAGUUGGUAAGGUAACGGCUUACCAAGGCGAAGAUGACUAGGGGUUCUGAGAGGAAGAUCCCCCACACUGGUACUGAGACACGGACCAGACUCCUACGGGAGGCAGCAGUGAGGAAUAUUGGUCAAUGGGUGAGAGCCUGAACCAGCCAUGCCGCGUGAAGGAAGACUGCCCUAUGGGUUGUAAACUUCUUUUCUGCAGGAAGAAAUCACUCUACGUGUAGGGUGUUGCCGGUACUGCAGGAAUAAGCAUCGGCUAACUCCGUGCCAGCAGCCGCGGUAAUACGGAGGAUGCAAGCGUUAUCCGGAUUUAUUGGGUUUAAAGGGUGCGUAGGCGGGCUCGUAAGUCAGUGGUGAAAUGCUGUGGCUUAACCAUAGAAUUGCCAUUGAAACUGCAAGUCUUGAGUACAGUUGAGGUGGGCGGAAUGAGUAAUGUAGCGGUGAAAUGCAUAGAUAUUACUCAGAACUCCGAUUGCGUAGG
rnacentral:rRNA from 1 species